rnacentral:lncRNA from 1 species
GGUGAAUGUGUAAGUUAAAGUUUUGGUGUGUUUUACUAUGGAAACAGAUAUAAAUCUGAAAAUCAGAUGUCCAAGAAGGAUCCCUGAUACAGCAAUGUUCUGUACAUUUAUCCUACACAAAGUCUGUAAGAUGAUUGUCCUCUGUAGCGUUUGCCGCUGAUCCUGAAAAAAAAUGAGAAAACUCACAUUUGGUAAUAUUUAAUUCAUGAGGACUGCUUACCUUAAAUCACUGUAAAUAGGGGCUGCACCAUCAGCCCUAAGGUUCUUAAUUUCACUCCGAGGCUGACUAUUUCCUGUGUUACAAUGCUGUGAAGCUGAAUCCGGAAUACCAAUUUAAUACUUGAGUGCCCAGAGUCAGGCAGACACUUUGCAUAAAACUCUUCUCUUGUGAGCUCUGAGUGCCUGCAGCUCUCCGCGGGAGGCAGUGGGUGCUAAGCACCUCCAAAAUCCAGGUCACUGUCACUUGGGAGCUCAGGAAGGAACUGCGAUGCCAAAGUUUGAGACUAAACUUACAAGUGAGUGACAUCGUUGUGGAAGGGCUGCCACACUUUGGGUCAACUGAAUUUCGGUAGUAAAUAGCACGAGCUGGCGAGCCAGUGAGAACGGAUCUGCGUGCGGUGAGCGUGCAGCACCAGAGGGGCACGUCCCGUUGUCUGCGCAGCGCUGCCGAGAGCUACCAGCAGCUUCGGCUCCUGAUGCGUGCUGCGUGCUGACUGCCUUCCCAGCCACUGUGGUUUGUGUGCAGGGUGAAAAUGGUAACGUGCACCUACCCACACAAGGCAUCCCUAUGUAUCACAGCUGUAUUUAUUUACUUGCUAAAUAAAAUCAAAAUAAUUAUGCAUUAAUUAUCAUUUAUUAACCAGCAACAAAUCUUUUCCUGAUAUUAGCAUCUCAGUAGGUAUAUUUAGGCUUAAAAAUUAGUACGUCUUAGUGCCAAAGUCUAUCCAAGGCAUCUGACUCCUACUGACACUGAAUUAUUCUGUUUUUUUAGUGUCUAACUAUAGGAUCAAUAAGCAUUCAUCCUUCUCUGUAGUCUCUAGGCUAGUAGGAAGAGAGGCAGCCUUGUAGACAAGGCACAGACAACGAGGUCAAGAGAAGGGAAUUCGUUUCUCAGCUUGCCUUAGGGGUUUUGUGAAGCCUUGGACAAAUCACACAACCUCUAAGUUUAAACCUCCUGACUUCCAAAAUGGAAAUGAUCAUAACCGUCUACCUCCCCAGGGCGCUAUGAAGUAAAUCAAUUCUCUGUAAGUAUGUAUGUGAGGUGUUGGUUGUUGGUGGGGGGACUACUUGGGUGCUUCAGAAGGAACAGAGAUAUUUCUGUUAGCUUUCAUUUUUGGAAACAGUCCUGGAGUGCAUCCUAAGCUUCAAUGUAUUAAAAAAAUUAACAACAUCUAGAACAAGAUUUGGUUACAUAGUGUGUAGUUAGUACAAUGUAUUAACAUUGCUAGUCUCAUUCUCCUACGGACAUUGUUUAUUUUGCAGCGUAACUAUGAAAGAUUGAAAG